CAAUAGCGUAUAUUUAAGUUGCUGCAGUUAAAAAGCUCGUAGUUGGAUUUCGGGUGGGAAUGGCCGGUCCGCCGUUUCGGUGUGCACUUGCUACGCCCACCUUGCUGCCGGGGACGUGCUCUUGAGUUCACGCUCGGGACACGGAGUCGGCGAGGUUACUUUGAGUAAAUUAGAGUGUUCAAAGCAGGCCUACGCUCUGAAUACAUUAGCAUGGAAUAACACGAUAGGACUCUGGCCUAUCUUGUUGGUCUGUAGGACCGGAGUAAUGAUUAAGAGGGACAGUCGGGGGCAUACGUAUUUCAUUGUCAGAGGUGAAAUUCUUGGAUUUAUGAAAGACGAACUACUGCGAAAGCAUUUGCCAAGGAUGUUUUCAUUAA
rnacentral:rRNA from 1 species